GACGUAGGGCGCGAGCGUUGUCCGGAUUUAUUGGGCGUAAAGAGCGUGUAGGCGGUCCGGUAAGUCAGCUGUGAAAGUCAAGGGCUCAACCCUUGAAUGCCGGUUGAUACUGUCGGGCUAGAGUCCGGAAGAGGCGAGUGGAAUUCCCGGUGUAGCGGUGAAAUGCGCAGAUAUCGGGAGGAACACCAAUGGCGAAGGCAGCUCGCUGGGACGGUACUGACGCUGAGACGCGAAAGCGUGGGGAGCGAACAGG
rnacentral:rRNA from 1 species